AUACGUAGGGGACGAGCGUUGUCCGGAAUUACUGGGCGUAAAGGGCGCGCAGGCGGAUAUUUAAGUCAGCUGUAAAAGGCAUGAGCUCAACUCAUGUAUGCGGUUGAAACUGGGUAUCUAGAGUGCUGGUGAGGUAGGCGGAAUUCCCGGGGUAGCGGGUAAAUGCGUAGAUACCGGGAAGAACACCAGUGGCGAAGGCGGCUUACUGGCCAGCAACUGACGCUGAGGCGCGAAAGCCAGGGGAGCGAACGGGAUUAGAUACCCCGGUAGUCCUGGCCGUAAACGAUGAAUGCUAGGUGUGGGUGUCGAGAGGCAUCCGUGCCGGAGUUAACGCGAUAAGCAUUCCGCCUGGGGAGUACGAUCGCAAGAUUGAAACUCAAAGGAAUUGACGGGG
rnacentral:rRNA from 1 species